rnacentral:rRNA from 1 species
UACGAGGGGGGCAAGCGUUAUUCGGAAUUAUUGGGCGUAAAGGGCGCGUAGGCGGCUUUUCAAGUGACGGGUGAAAUCCCUCGGCUUAACCGAGGAACUGCCUGUCAGACUGGAAGGCUUGAGACCGGGAGAGGUGAGUGGAAUUCCCAGUGUAGCGGUGAAAUGCGUAGAUAUUGGGAGGAACACCAGUGGCGAAGGCGGCUCACUGGACCGGAACUGACGCUGAGGCGCGAAAGCGUGGGGAGCAAACAGG